rnacentral:lncRNA from 1 species
AUAGUAGAAGAAAUUGAGAAGAUGAACACACAAAUUUAACGUGGAAAAAUCCCUCAAAAGAGGAUAAAAAACCACGGGCAAAGAUAAUUUUACUAUAAUGGCAAAAGAAUGAAGAGUACAAAAGAUGGAGAUAAAAACUAAAUCCCGAAAACCCGAAAAACAAAGAACCCUCAAACGUAAACACAAAAUUCUCUGAAUGUGUUAUGAGUUCUAAUCUAAUGGGUGUCUCUUAAUUCUAAGAUUGUAAAGGAGCCUAUUUAUAGGCUAAAUUAGUAAGUCAAAUAAACUAUACUAAUAAAUGCUAAAUAUAUUAUACUAAUAAAU